rnacentral:rRNA from 1 species
GAUGAACGCUGGCGGCGUGCCUAAUACAUGCAAGUCGAGCGAACAGACGAGGAGCUUGCUCCUCUGACGUUAGCGGCGGACGGGUGAGUAACACGUGGAUAACCUACCUAUAAGACUGGGAUAACUUCGGGAAACCGGAGCUAAUACCGGAUAAUAUAUUGAACCGCAUGGUUCAAUAGUGAAAGACGGUUUUGCUGUCACUUAUAGAUGGAUCCGCGCCGCAUUAGCUAGUUGGUAAGGUAACGGCCUACCAAGGCAACGAUGCGUAGCCGACCUGAGAGGGUGAUCGGCCACACUGGAACUGAGACACGGUCCAGACUCCUACGGGAGGCAGCAGUAGGGAAUCUUGCGCAAUGGGCGAAAGCCUGACGGAGCCACGCCGCGUGAGUGAUGAAGGUCUUCGGAUCGUAAAACCCUGUUAUUAGGGAAGAACAAAUGUGUAAGUAACUAUGCACGUCUUGACGGUACCUAAUCAGAAAGCCCCGGCUAACUACGUG